rnacentral:lncRNA from 1 species
GCCUCUUUAUUUUUCUUAUCUGGCUGGGUAUCGACUAAGGUUUGCGCCGAUUGAAGAGAGGUUUAAAAACCUCUCUUCCCUCUGAUCUGGACCGUCUAUCCGUGUCGAUGUGGAGUGAGGAGAACCAUCCGAUCGUUGCCUAUUUAGGCCACUUGUCUGGGAGAAUUUGGGCCAUUCAUCACGAUUAACCUCGUCCAUCCGAUCGCGUCUCAAGAGGGAAUGCGUCUAAAACAUUCGUGCGCCCGGGGAGUGAUCGGGACUGUUGGAUCGCCAAGUACGCGGAUCGCCUGCAUGGCCUCCUAUA